AACGAACGCUGGCGGCAUGCCUAACACAUGCAAGUCGAACGAGACCUUCGGGUAUAGUGGCGCACGGGUGCGUAACGCGUGGGAACCUGCCCUUAGGUUCGGAAUAACUCCCCGAAAGGGGUGCUAAUACCGGAUAAUGUCUUCGGACCAAAGAUUUAUCGCCUUUGGAUGGGCCCGCGUUGGAUUCGCUAGUUGGUAGGGUAAAAGCCUACCAAGGCGACGAUCCAUAGCUGGUCUGAGAGGAUGAUCAGCCACACUGGGACUGAGACACGGCCCAGACUCCUACGGGAGGCAGCAGUGGGGAAUAUUGGACAAUGGGCGAAAGGCUGAUCCAGCAAGGCCGCGUGAGUGAUGAAGGCCUUAGGGUUGUAAAGCUCUUUUACCCGGGAUGAUAAUGACAGUACCGGGAGAAUAAGCUCCGGCUAACUCCGUG
rnacentral:rRNA from 1 species